rnacentral:rRNA from 1 species
GACGAACGCUGGCGGCGUGCUUAACACAUGCAAGUCGAGCGGUAAGGCCCUUUCGGGGUACGACGAGCGGCGAACGGGUAGAGUAACACGUGGGUGACCUGCCCUCCAGCUCUGGGAGUAAGCCUGGGAAACCGGGUACGUAAUACUGGAUAUGACUCCAUGACGCAUGUUGUGGGGUGGAAAGCCUUGUGCGGCUGAGGAUGGGCCCGCGGCCUAUCAGCUUGUUGGUGGGGUGAGGCCUACCAAGGCGACGACGGGUAGCCGGCCUGAGAGGGCGACCGGCCAC